AAACUGGAGGGUUUGAUCCUGGCUCAGAAUGAACGCUGGUGGCGUGCCUAACACAUGCAAGUCGAGCGAGAAAUUCCUCUUCGGAGGAAGAGUAAAGCGGCGCACGGGUGAGUAACGCGUGGGUAAUCUACCCUCGAGUCUGGGAUAACACCCCGAAAGGAGUGCUAAUACCAGAUAUGACCGCAGCUAUUAUUGUGGCAGUGGUAAAAGGUGGCCUCUCCAUGGAAGCUAUCGCUUGGGGAUGAGCCCGCGUCCUAUCAGCUUGUUGGUAGGGUAAUGGCCUACCAAGGCUAAGACGGGUAGCUGGUCUGAGAGGACGACCAGCCACACUG
rnacentral:ncRNA from 1 species